UCAAAUAUAUGAAAAUUGUGGUAUCCGUAUCUUUGAGGGAUUAUAAUCGUAGUUUACAUAGGCACGCCCUUGACAAUGUUGUGUAGACACAUUACAUUUUCUGGUUUUGUGAACAAGCCAACUAGAACAUUAAUAACUUCCUUUUAUGUCAUUGUUUUUUCCCAAAGAACACAAGGCUAAGCUAGAUUACAAAACGGCUAUUAAGGUGGUAACUGGUAAGCUAGAGGGAGGAUAAAUAACAAACUUCCAAAGCACGGUCUUUUGGAGUGAUUGUUGUAUGUCCCGUUGUCUUCGUAGUGGUGGAUCAAGUUCUCAAAUCCGCUAGUAAUGUUCUAUCUUACAACAAGUAGAAGAAUUUAGCAGGAGGGUAUAUAGGAAAAUUUAGAAUUAUUUAAACCUUUAACAUACUUGCCCAUUGUCAAAUUUCACAACUAAUUAAAGCUUCCUCUAUAUGCAUGAUUCUAACUCUUUUAAUUAGCUACUUCCAGAUCCAUCUUACCACACCUCGCUCCUAUAGAGAGAGAGAGAGAGAGAAAGAGAAAGAAAGUUAAGUACUUCCCGCUUUAUUCAGUUAGAUACAUGCAUUCAUAUUAAACAAGAGAGUAAUGGAUCACAUCAUGCACCAUCGAUAAUGUACAACACUAGUUAAAUUAAUUCCUACACUUGAAAUAUUUAAAAUAGCAACAAAAUUAUUAAUGAUAUCUUAAAAACAAGAUAAAACAAAACCAACCAGUGGUUGGUUCGAAUGCUCAAGCGGCCCCUUAAUUAAACAUGUAGCUAAAAUUCGGAGAUUGAUAGUACCUAUGAAUGCUAACAUAUCUCCAAGAAGAGAUUAUAAUAAUAAUCAUAGUGAAUGACCGAAAUCAUAUACGAAAAGAAAAACCUAAAUAUUGUAGCUAGUGCUUAAUUAUUUAUAUAUAAUAUGUAAUAAUUAAUAUACCAUUGGGUGUGGUGAAGAAGAGAAGUAUUUUGUGGCUAGCUAGCAAAGAGCUUCCUCGGAACGGAAGGUUUGGUCCGAAGCAGAAAGACAGAAGCGAGAUCAUCGUGGGGCACUUGAAAGAAGCCAGCUUGAGAAUGAGAAUGAGAAGUCCUUCUGGACACUCGUGGUUUCUUCGGAGGUGGUGGACAAACCAACAACGUUUGAGCCACUUUUGAUGAUGACGUGGGUGUGUGGCACUCUUGCACCAGCAUCUCCUCCUUCGCUGAUGCCUCUACCAGCUCCGAGCCUUGGCUGAAGGUUCUAACCUUAGGAACAGGAACUGUUCGGAUGGGCAUAAUUGGCCGAAAUUCGUCUAGGAUUUCGAGACCCAUAUGUGGAGCUAGCUAGCUAUAGCAACAAAAUUCAGUGUUAUGAAUUACUAUGAUGGUAUGGUAGUAGAAAAUUAAUUUAAUGUUUGGUUUGGCAUGAAGGCGUGCAGAGAGAAAUUGAGAGGGUGAUGAUGGGAUGCGCUUAAAGAGAGACAGAUAUAUGAGAGAGAAGAAAGAAGGUGGAGGGGGGGUGGGGUGACAAACACCAAUUAUGUCCUGUGUCUACUACCAUUAUUG
rnacentral:lncRNA from 1 species